rnacentral:rRNA from 1 species
GACGAACGCUGGCGGCGUGCCUAAUACAUGCAAGUAGAACGCUGAAGCGAGGAGCUUGCUCUUCUUGGAUGAGUUGCGAACGGGUGAGUAACGCGUAGGUAACCUGCCUUGUAGCGGGGGAUAACUAUUGGAAACGAUAGCUAAUACCGCAUAACAAUGGAUGACACAUGUCAUUUAUUUGAAAGGGGCAAUUGCUCCACUACAAGAUGGACCUGCGUUGUAUUAGCUAGUAGGUGAGGUAAUGGCUCACCUAGGCGACGAUACAUAGCCGACCUGAGAGGGUGAUCGGCCACACUGGGACUGAGACACGGCCCAGACUCCUAAGGGAGGCAGCAGUAGGGAAUCUUCGGCAAUGGGGGCAACCCUGACCGAGCAACGCCGCGUGAGUGAAGAAGGUUUUCGGAUCGUAAAGCUCUGUUGUAAGUCAAGAACGGGUGUGAGAGUGGAAAGUUCACACUGUGACGGUAGCUUACCAGAAAGGGACGGCUAACUACGUG